UACGGAGGGUGCAAGCGUUAUCCGGAUUCACUGGGUUUAAAGGGUGCGUAGGUGGGCAGGUAAGUCCGUGGUGAAAUCUCUGAGCUUAACUCAGAAACUGCCGUGGAUACUAUUUGUCUUGAAUGUUGUGGAGGUGAGCGGAAUAUGUCAUGUAGCGGUGAAAUGCUUAGAUAUGACAUAGAACACCAAUUGCGAAGGCAGCUCGCUACACGGUUAUUGACACUGAGGCACGAAAGCGUGGGGAUCAAACAGG
rnacentral:rRNA from 1 species